rnacentral:lncRNA from 1 species
AAGCUCCAAAGAAAACUGACUCCCUCCUUCACCCCAAUUAAAAAGCAAUAAAGGCUAUUUUCUCCCCCUCUCUCUCUCUCUCUCUUUCUCUCUCUCUCUCUCCCUUUUUCUUUUUUUUUAAUUGAAGGUGGGAGAUUUGCUGAAGAAGCUGUUGCCUUCACAGAGGGGCAGAUGUCAAAUACUGUGAGGCCGUAUCCUCAUCUGGUGUCAUCCAGCAUCAUUCCACUGAAGUCCGUCUAAGCUGUUCUGCGUUGUACUGCUGAAUUGUCUGGCCCUUCAUCUUGCAAUGCCAUUCAGAGACAUAGCUCCUCAGAACCAACUUGACAAGGUCAUGUGCAAAUACGAUAUUUAGAGAUAAUGGCCCAAACUCAUUCCAGCAGUUGUACCCAGCAAGUCACAUGGCCUCCUACUUUUUGAUUAUAUUCUUUUUCAUCCUGAAGAUUCGAGCCGUGCAGCACAGAAGCAAUUUUUCCUAAGAGAAACAACGAUGAUAAUCUGGGGAAUCUCUGUCAAGAAUGAUCCUGUGGAUAAUCUCACGUCAAUGACAUCCUGGCAGGAGGCCUUCCUCCUCCCCCUCGGCACCACCUUGGU